GACGAACGUUGGCGGCGUGCUUAAUACAUGCCAGUCAACUGAAGCAGUGGUAGCAAUAUCGCUGUGGAGGUGGCGCACGGGUGAGUAACACGUAGGUAAUCUGCCUUCAGGUCUGGCAUAACUCCGGGAAACCGGGGCUAAUAGCAGAUGAUGCAGCGGCUCGACAUCGAGACAGUUGUUAAAGCUAUGGCGCCUGAAGAUGAGCCUGCGUCUGAUUAGCUAGUUGGCGGGGUAACGGCCCACCAAGGCAACGAUCAGUAGCUGGUCUGAGAGGAUGAUCAGCCACACUGGAACUGAGACACGGUCCAGACUCCUACGGGAGGCAGCAGUGAGGAAUAUUGCUCAAUGGGAGAAAUCCUGAAGCAGCAACGCCGCGUGAGGGACGAAGGGCUUUUGCUUGUAAACCUCUGUAGUGAGAGAAAAAAAUCCCAAUCUUUGGGACAUGAUGGUAUCUCAAAAGUAAGCCCCGGCUAACUACGUG
rnacentral:rRNA from 1 species